rnacentral:rRNA from 1 species
GACGAACGCUGGCGGCGUGCUUAACACAUGCAAGUCGAACGAAGUGGCGAACGGGUGAGUAACGCGUAAUCAACCUGCCCUUCAGAGGGGGACAACAGUUGGAAACGACUGCUAAUACCGCAUACUGAAGGAGGGGAUUGCGUCUGAUUAGCUAGUUGGAGGGGUAACGGCCCACCAAGGCGAUGAUCAGUAGCCGGUCUGAGAGGGAGAACGGCCACAGUGGAACUGAGAAACGGCCCAGACUCCUACGAGAGGAAGCAGUGGAGACUCUUCCGCGAUGGACGAAAGUCUGACGGAGCAACGCCGCGUGAGUGAUGACGCCCUUCGGGUUGUAAUGCUCUGUUAAUCGGGACGCGGUACCGGAAUAGUAAGCCACGGCUAACUACGUGCCAGCAGCCGCGGUAAUAC